AAUAAAUGGAGGGUCGGUAAAUAAGAUCACAACACGUAUUUGUCUGUUAGUAUAAAAGGUAUAUAUGCUCUAGUUUUUAUACGAUUUAUGAUAAUUCGAAAAUAUUUACUUUUCAUUUUUGUCAUAUGUAUAUAUAGUUGAGUACUUAUUGAAGUUGUGGAGAUAGUUGUGGAGAUGUAACUCAUGGUCUAUUGUGUUAUUAUUUGUAGCGGAAUACGCUAACUUGCCACUCAUUCCAUCUUAUUUCCAAGCAAGGAUUUACUCGGAGUCAAUUUUGCUUCAAGCUUAUCUGAUUCUCUCCUUGAAACCAACCGUGGUCAUGUAAUAGACCUUAAGCACAAUUGAAAUAUUUCAAGAAGGUGACAAAAUUGUUAAAGAAUAAAGUUGGAGAUAAGCAUUCCAAAAAAAAACUCAUCUCAAAUGCUGUUUACAUGUUUAGUACUGGAACAGUUAAUUAUGGUGAAGCUUUUCGAAAUAGCCCCGAUUUAAUUCAGUUUCCAUAUCCUAAACAACAAUUUGUAGAAAUGGUAUUAUCAAAUUUCACAUCCGUUUUGAAGGGUUUGAAGUAUCAAAGAAGGCACGUUGUGGUACAGGACCCUUUCGAGGAAUUAACAGUUGUGGAGGAAAGAGGCAAGUUAAAGAGUACUAACUUUGCAAAAAUCCCAAAGAUUAUGUAUUCUUCUAUGCUACGCAUCGGUCACAAUCCACCUAUGCUAAACUGUUAUGGCAUGGCGAUUCGGAUGUCACUAAACCUUAUGGCCUAAAAUCUUUUUUUUUUUUUAAUUUUCAGGCUAAAUCCACCAUAAAAUUGGUGUGCACUAUUAUCUUUUUUUGGAAUAAGACUAUCUCUCUAUAGCUUCCUCUUCCAACGUGUAUGCAUACAUUUCUAUUUUAACUCACAAACUAAAAUAACACUGCAUUUGCUUUUUAGAAUAUGGACAUCUCUUGAUGUAAUUGAUUGCUUCAAAUUUUUGGAUGUUCAAAAUUCAUUGCAUGAAAUUAAAUUUAAAAGUAACUUUAAUUCUUGAAUCUUAUGAGUAUAAUUCUAUUAUUAUCUUGAUUCUUCUCUCCUUAAUUUCUCUGCGCUUCAAGAGCCUUCAAUAGCGUAUUUUUUAUGUUGCAUGAUGGUUUGGUUCUCCUAGAGAUUUAUUUAGGUCAUUAGAGAUGUUGGGCAACACUUCUAGGUUAUCAAAAUGGUUAUAACUUUUUAUUGCUAGAAACAUGGAUUGUUGUAAAAUUGAUGGCGUAGGAACGAAGAUUCAAAUAUCUUUAAUUUGAUAGGUUAUGGGCCACACAACUCUUUAAAUUCUAA